ensembl:snoRNA
ACCUUCCGGUUCCCUUUCCCAUCAGAUCUGAACACCAGUUUGAGUGAUCAUAAGAGGUAAAAAGGAACACUGAAACUGGCCUCCUAGUGCUUAUGGUCUGGUAUAUAACUCACCGGCUAGUUUCAGACAAGG